rnacentral:rRNA from 1 species
GACGAACGCUGGCGGCGUGCUUAACACAUGCAAGUCGAACGGAAAGGCCCUGCUUUUGUGGGGUGCUCGAGUGGCGAACGGGUGAGUAACACGUGAGUAACCUGCCCUUGACUUUGGGAUAACUCCAGGAAACUGGGGCUAAUACCGGAUAGGAGCUCCUGCUGCACGGUGGGGGUUGGAAAGUUUCGGCGGUUGGGGAUGGACUCGCGGCUUAUCAGCUUGUUGGUGGGGUAGUGGCUUACCAAGGCUUUGACGGGUAGCCGGCCUGAGAGGGUGACCGGCCACAUUGGGACUGAGAUACGGCCCAGACUCCUACGGGAGGCAGCAGUGGGGAAUAUUGCACAAUGGGCGGAAGCCUGAUGCAGCAACGCCGCGUGCGGGAUGACGGCCUUCGGGUUGUAAACCGCUUUCGCCUGUGACGAAGCGUGAGUGACGGUAAUGGGUAAAGAAGCACCGGCUAACUACGUG